AACGCAUCUUGCACCUGUGCUCUGCACGGGUAUGCCUGUUUGAGAAUUGCUUCUCCAUUGCAGCUGUCUCCUUUUGUGUGCAGCGGCUGCAGACAUGGGGCGUCAGCUGUGGCUGCGUCCUGAAAUGUCCACUAGUGUCAAGCGCGAUAAACUGGGUUACCACCAGGAUCGUUUGCCACCAGGAAAGAAAAGUGUCUCAUCACAUCUACAAUCUCAAAUCAGGCAAGAUCACCCGCUGAACUUAA
rnacentral:misc_RNA from 1 species